GUUGUUGAGCAUAUUAAUUACCCUGUUUAUGCCAUAAAAUCAAUAUCUACGAAACUGAUCUGGUUUCUUUGAUCCUUGCAGGAACCCUGCAACAGAAGCAGCAUAUUAACUUGUAUUGAAUCCUCCCACUGCAGUUUAGGAAAGAAACUAAACCCGAAAACUCGAACCGGUCAUGGAGUUCUUGGUAGCAGCAUAAUGUAAAUGAACCCUCUCGUGGAUCAUAAUACGAUUCGCUAGCCACAUGUGUUUUCAUCAUGCCUUGAUUUUGCUGCAUCUUUGUUUGCAUGUAUCAUGGCAUCAAGUAUUAAACGUUCAUAGUUCUUGAGUAAU